UACGUAGGGGGCUAGCGUUGUCCGGAAUCAUUGGGCGUAAAGCGCGUGUAGGCGGCUCGAUAAGUCUGUUGUGAAAGCCCAGGGCUCAACCCUGGAACGCCGAUGGAUACUGUCGAGCUAGAGUCCGGAAGAGGCGAGUGGAAUUCCUGGUGUAGCGGUGAAAUGCGCAGAUAUCAGGAGGAACACCAAUGGCGAAGGCAGCUCGCUGGGACGGUACUGACGCUGAGACGCGAAAGCGUGGGGAGCAAACAGG
rnacentral:rRNA from 1 species